GACGAACGCUGGCGGCGUGCUUAACACAUGCAAGUCGAACGGAAAGGCCCUGCUUUUGUGGGGUGCUCGAGUGGCGAACGGGUGAGUAACACGUGAGUAACCUGCCCUUGACUUUGUGAUAACUUCAGGAAACUGGGGCUCAUACCGGAUAGGAGCUCCUGCUGCAUGGUGGGGGUUGGAAAGUUUCGGCGGUUGGGGAUGGACUCGCGGCUUAUGAGCUUGUUGGUGGAGUAGUGGCUUACCAAGGCUUUGACGGGUAGCCGGCCUGAGAGGGGGACCGGCCACAUUGGGACUGAGAGACGGCCCAGACUCCUACGGGAGGCAGCAGUGGGGAAUAUUGCACAAUGGGCGGAAGCCUGAUGCAGCAACGCCGCGUGCGGGAUGACGGCCUUCGGGUUGUAAACCGCUUUCGCCUGUGACGAAGCGUGAGUGACGGUAAUGGGUAAAGAAGCACCGGCUAACUACGUG
rnacentral:rRNA from 1 species